UACGUAGGGUGCGAGCGUUAAUCGGAAUUACUGGGCGUAAAGCGUGCGCAGGCGGUUUUUUAAGACAGAUGUGAAAUCCCCGGGCUUAACCUGGGAACUGCAUUUGUGACUGCAAGACUAGAGUGUGUCAGAGGGGGGUGGAAUUCCACGUGUAGCAGUGAAAUGCGUAGAGAUGUGGAGGAACACCGAUGGCGAAGGCAGCCCCCUGGGAUAACACUGACGCUCAGGCACGAAAGCGUGGGGAGCAAACAGG
rnacentral:rRNA from 1 species